AGUGAACGCUGGCGGUAGGCCUAACACAUGCAAGUCGAACGGCAGCACAGUAAGAGCUUGCUCUUACGGGUGGCGAGUGGCGGACGGGUGAGGAAUACAUCGGAAUCUACUUUUUCGUGGGGGAUAACGUAGGGAAACUUACGCUAAUACCGCAUACGACCUACGGGUGAAAGCAGGGGAUCUUCGGACCUUGCGCGAUUGAAUGAGCCGAUGUCGGAUUAGCUAGUUGGCGGGGUAAAGGCCCACCAAGGCGACGAUCCGUAGCUGGUCUGAGAGGAUGAUCGGCCACACUGGAACUGAGACACGGUCCAGACUCCUACGGGAGGCAGCAGUGGGGAAUAUUGGACAAUGGGCGCAAGCCUGAUCCAGCAAUGCCGCGUGGGUGAAGAAGGCCUUCGGGUUGUAAAGCCCUUUUGUUGGGAAAGAAAAGAAGCGGAUUAAUACCCCGCUGUUCUGACGGUACCCAAAGAAAAAGCACCGGCUAACUUCGUG
rnacentral:rRNA from 1 species